UUAAAAAUUGUGAGGGAUAAGAUGAUGAAGAUCAAUUACAUCCAUAAGAAGUAAUACAUUUCCGCCAGAUUGAUUAGCUUCUAGUUUCUUUUCUCUUCUUGUAGAGUUUUAUGAGUGGCGGAAUUAGAAAAUAAAAAGAAAAAAUCGAGAGUGAAAUGAUUAAAAAAAUAAUGUCGGAACAAAUAAGAGACGGCCGGAAAACGCCAGCGACUGGCGGCCGAGAGAGAGUGACUGUCCAUUCUGCCACUUUAGUUCCGUCUUUGUGCUGGGAAUGGCUAGGUUGUCUCAUAUCAAGUGGAGUAAAGGUCCCAUUUCUUUGGGUUGUGAUUGAUCAAAGUUGGACCGUUACUUUAAUAUACAAUUUGAUUGUGAUUACUAAUUAUAGGAAAGAACUUGAUAAUGGUGGUAGCUGAUACCAUUCCAUAAUUUAACUUGUAAUACAAUACAAUUCCAGACUUAUAUAUACUGGCCUUGUUUUAUAGAGUAUAUGAUGGAAUAAUCUGAAGCAUAUACCCUUUUCUAUCA